AUGUUCUCACAACUUCAUCUUCAUCGCAUCAAUCUUCAAUCAACAUCAUUGAUUCUGUACAUCAGUUCUGAAAACCGCAACCAGCAUAACAUCUUAAAUCUUUAUCUUCGACGACUCCAACCUUCUGCAACAAUAUACAAUUCCAGUAUCAACGGAGUUCGCAUCACAAAAACACGGGCAAAUCUGAAACUCAGAAAGAAGAAGAAGAAAGGAGAUACAAAGGGGAAGAACCCGAGAUCGGACUACAACAGUGUUGGUUCAUCGGAAAUGGAAGCGACAGAUCGAGAAGCAGAUUCGUUGAAGAAGAACAGAAAUAGGACGAUGUUACGAUGA